rnacentral:rRNA from 1 species
GGCGGACGGGUGAGUAAUGUCUGGGAAACUGCCUGAUGGAGGGGGAUAACUACUGGAAACGGUAGCUAAUACCGCAUAACGUCGCAAGACCAAAGAGGGGGACCUUCGGGCCUCUUGCCAUCGGAUGUGCCCAGAUGGGAUUAGCUAGUAGGUGGGGUAACGGCUCACCAAGGCGACGAUCCCUAGCUGGUCUGAGAGGAUGACCAGCCACACUGGAACUGAGACACGGUCCAGACUCCUACGGGAGGCAGCAUG